UCCGUAGGUGAACCUGCGGAUGGAUCAUUACCUGAAAAGUUAAUGCCAAUUUUGGUGUGGUUGACAGAAUUAGUUAACCUCUGGCUUUGGCUGGUAAAUCAGCCUGCCAGUACUUGUAGUGUGCAAUGACGAGAGUUGGUGUUGAAGCCAACAAGAAGUCGCACGCUUGAUAAGUGAAGGGGUUGUUGGAUCGGACGACACUGAAGUCCAGGCGAGAUGCCUCCUCUACCCCUUAGACUGCCAUUGACUUCACUGAAGCGAUUGUCUCUAAAGAUGAUAACUGCUGGCCGUGGAUCACUUGGCUGACGGAUCGAUGAAGAACGUAGCAAACUACGUUAAACGGUGUGAAUUGCAGAACACGCAGAACACUGGAACUUUGAACGCACAUGGCAGGUUAGUGUUAUAACUAACCUUUGUCUGUGUGAGGGUUGUAAUAAGAGAAUCAAAGCUAAUUUUUGAAAAGCGGGGAGGUUGCCUGUUAAAUGUGUGACAUGCCCGCUGAUCGUAUUAAAAACACACUUGUGUUGCGCCUCUGGGCCAGGCGGUCGGGGGAGGGGAUAACGGGGGCAACUGGGACGGAGGUGGAACUUUCUUCUCACAACCUCACAUCAGGGGCAAGGAUUACCCGCUUAAUUUAA
rnacentral:rRNA from 1 species